CAUGAUUCAGCGGCGGACGGGUGAGUAAUGCCUAGGAAUCUGCCUGGUAGUGGGGGACAACGUUUCGAAAGGAACGCUAAUACCGCAUACGUCCUACGGGAGAAAGUGGGGGAUCUUCGGACCUCACGCUAUCAGAUGAGCCUAGGUCGGAUUAGCUAGUUGGUGAGGUAAAGGCUCACCAAGGCGACGAUCCGUAACUGGUCUGAGAGGAUGAUCAGUCACACUGGAACUGAGACACGGUCCAGACUCCUACGGGAGGCAGCAGUGGGGAAUAUUGGACAAUGGGCGAAAGCCUGAUCCAGCCAUGCCGCGUGUGUGAAGAAGGUCUUCGGAUUGUAAAGCACUUUAAGUUGGGAGGAAGGGCAGUAAGUUAAUACCUUGCUGUUUUGACGUUACCAACAGAAUAAGCACCGGCUAACUUCGUGCCAGCAGCCGCGGUAAUACGAAGGGUGCAAGCGUUAAUCGGAAUUACUGGGCGUAAAGCGCGCGUAGGUGGUUCGUUAAGUUGGAUGUGAAAGCCCCGGGCUCAACCUGGGAACUGCAUCCAAAACUGGCGAGCUAGAGUAUGGCAGAGGGUGGUGGAAUUUCCUGUGUAGCGGUG
rnacentral:rRNA from 1 species